ACACUUUUAGGUUUCGAAAUUCCUUCACCAAGUUCUGGAACCUGAACAUCCAGUAACUUGUUUUCUUUGGCUUUUCUCUAUGAUAUCGACUUUGACAUGGCUUCAUCUUGAUUCAGUAUUCUUUUUUUUUUUUUAGAGAAAGAUAGCAUGCUACCGCUUCAUUUAUUCUUGAUCCAAUAUUCCUACGGUUGCAUAAUUCCAGCAUUAGGCGUCCUUUAGCAUCGUUGGCCUUUUUCAUUUUUCAAAAAGAAUUU
rnacentral:lncRNA from 1 species